UGAAAUGCGAUGAUAGGGAAGAGUACGAAACAAUCGCCUUCAGAGAGGGAAACCAUGAGCUGAAAGUUUCCUAGGAAUGAAAGUUUUGGAAGGUCGCCCUUGAUGCAGCUUCUUUGAACAUGUAGUAGGAGAAUGCCGGUUCCUGACCGUUAUCAGACAUUGAGUGUACAAGAUUUUUCUGUCUUGUAAACAAAGGUGGUACCACGGAAACUAUACCCUUUUCGUCCUUUAA
rnacentral:ncRNA from 1 species